CCGUCGAUAGCUCAGUUGGUAGAGCGGUGGACUGUAGCGGUUCUUCAACGAUGCGGAUAUCCAUAGGUCGCUGGUUCGAAUCCGGCUCGACGGA
rnacentral:tRNA from 1 species